rfam:Ovis aries breed Texel chromosome 1, whole genome shotgun sequence.
UCCCUUGUGGCUCAGCUGGUAAAGAAUCUGCCUGCAAUGUGGGAGACCUGGGUUCGAUCCCUGGCUUGGGAA